GUCUAUGGCCAUACCACCCUGAACACGCCCAAUCUUAUCUGAUCUCAGAAGCUAAGUAGGAUUGGGCCUGGUUAGUACUUGGAUAGGAGGUUUGGAUGACUGAGAGA
rnacentral:rRNA from 1 species